rnacentral:miRNA from 1 species
GUUUAUGACGUCGAUAUUCCACGUCAUAAACACGAUCAACUUUGGUGUUUAUGACGUCGAUAUUCGGCGUCAUAAACACGAUCAACUUUGGUGUUUAUAACGUCGAUAUACGACGUCAUAAACACAAUCAAGUUUCGUGUUUAUGACGUCGAUAUUCGACGUCAUAAACACCAUCAAGUUUGGUGUUUAUAACGUCGAUAUACGACGUCAUAAACACCAUCAAGUUUCGUGUUGAUGACGUCGACAUUCGACGUCAUAAAC